GACCAUCGGACCAUGGGACAUGAAGCUCAGGCCCCCCACCCUGGAGUCGUGACCAGUGUACACAGCUGCCUGCCCUUUUCCCUUGUGUCCAUCCGGGAGCGGCUUUCUGCCAGCUUCUAUGUUGCCUGUCCUCGGUCCACUUGAAUCUCUUGAGAGAGAUGAGUCCUGUGUGUACCUAGGCCCUGCCACAGGGACCUGGACACCCUGCCUGUUGAGGCGAGGUUGUGGAUGUCCCGGGCCUUAGUGGUCUAUGCUUCGCAUGAUGUGGGGCAGCAUCCAUCUGAACGCUCAUCACUACCAAGGCCAAGGUUUUGGAAGGAAGCCCUUCUCCUCUCCCAUCUUAGUAUUAGACCAUCGGACAUUGGGACACGGGACUCAGGCCGCUGACUCUGCAUCCCUCACAAGUGCACACCACUGCCUGCCCUUUUGCCUUGUGUCCAUCCUGGAGCGGCCUUCUGCAAGAUUCUAUGUUACCUGUCCUCGGUCCACUUGGAAUCUCUUGAGAGAGCCGAGUCCUGUGUGUUCCUAGGCCCUGCCACAGAUAGGUGG